CCUACGGGAGGCAGCAGUGGGGAAUAUUGGGCAAUGGAGGCAACUCUGACCCAGCAACGCCGCGUGAAUGAUGAAGGUCUUCGGAUUGUAAAGUUCUGUGAUGGGGGAUGAACACAAUGACGGUACCCCAAUAGCAAGCCACGGCUAACUACGUGCCAGCAGCCGCGGUAAUACGUAGGUGGCAAGCGGUAUCCGGAAGGACUGGGCGUAAAGGGUGCGUAGGUGGUUUAGUAAGUUGGCGGUGUAAUUCCGGGGCUCAACCUCGGCGCUACCGCCAAAACUAUUAGACUAGAGCGCAGGAGGGGUAAGUGGAAUUCCUAGUGUAGCGGUGGAAUGCGUAGAGAUUAGGAGGAACAUCAGGGGCGAAGGCGACUUACUGGACUGUCACUGACACUGAGGCACGAAAGCGUGGGGAGCAAACAGGAUUAGAUACCCGAGUAGUC
rnacentral:rRNA from 1 species